rnacentral:rRNA from 1 species
UGGCGGGACGGGGUGGAGUAACGCGUGGGUAACCGUGCCUUGUACAGGGGGAUAACAGUUGGAAACGGCUGCUAAUACCGCAUAAGCGCACGGCAUCGCAUGAUGCAGUGUGAAAAAACUACCGGUGGUAUAAGAUGGACCCGCGUUGGAUUAGCUAGUUGGUGAGGUAACGGCCCACCAAGGCGACGACCCAUAGCCGACCUGAGAGGGUGACCGGCCACAUUGGGACUGAGACACGGCCCAA